AUUGAACGCUGGCGGCAGGCCUAACACAUGCAAGUCGAACGGUAACAGGAAGAAGCUUGCUUCUUUGCUGACGAGUGGCGGACGGGUGAGUAAUGUCUGGGAAACUGCCUGAUGGAGGGGGAUAACUACUGGAAACGGUAGCUAAGACCGCAUAACGUCGCAAGACCAAAGAGGGGGACCUUCGGGCCUCUUGCCAUCGGAUGUGCCCAGAUGGGAUUAGCUAGUAGGUGGGGUAACGGCUCACCUAGGCGACGAUCCCUAGCUGGUCUGAGAGGAUGACCAGCCACACUGGAACUGAGCCACGGUCCAGACUCCUACGGGAGGCAGCAGUGGGGAAUAUUGCACAAUGGGCGCAAGCCUGAUGCAGCCAUGCCGCGUGUAUGAAGAAGGCCUUCGGGUUGUAAAGUACUUUCAGCGGGGAGGAAGGGAGUAAAGUUAAUACCUUUGCUCAUUGACGUUACCCGCAGAAGAAGCACCGGCUAACUCCGUG
rnacentral:rRNA from 1 species